UCCAGUGUCUUCAAACCCUGUGUAUUCACAAACAGCUAAAGGAAUCCCCUAAACUAUUAGCAGUAAUCAUGCAUGUUUGAGAGAGAACACUCAACUCUGGGACAUGGAAACUGAAGAGCUCCAACAACUUUGCUCCUCCAACUGAUCCAAGAAAUUGAGGUAAGAUGGCAACAUUCUUUGAGCCAGCUCAGAAAUUCAGAGAGAUGAAAGUCACAAUGUCUCUCUUGGACACCCCUCUGUAUCCUCUUAAUCAAUUUCUUGCAGUUAUUUUCCUAAUUUAAAACAUAACAGGCACUGGUCACAACUGAUUUGCAUUUAGAUCUCUACUCAUAUUGUGCUGGAUGCCAGGAUGGUCUUUGCUAAGGAUUCUGGUGGUGUCAUCACCAGCCGAGGUGGCACACAUUACAUGAGCUCCCAAACAAGGAGCUGUGUCUUUCCAGGUGUUUGCCAAACUCAAAAUGAAUACAUCAAGAGUAUUCAGGAUGAGUCUGAAAUGAGAACAUGGGAAAUACAUGGCAAGUUAAAACCUAGGAGAAAAGUGUGAUAGAGGACUAUUCCUGGCCUGAAUAGAAGGUAAAAAUUCAAAGUAUUAAGUUAAAAAAAAUUACUGGGACAGUGCUGUAGUAACUUGUGGUCAGAGGAAAGCAGGAUUUGGCUGUGCCACAGAGAGAAGCAUCCUUAUCCUUUGUGCCAGAUGGAUCUUGGCUUCCUUGCUCAAACACUCAAUAAAGGUUUGGAAGAGGUGUCAUACAAGUGCACAAGGAGAAUUGUUAAGAGCAGAGCCACUAGAAUGUGAUUUGAUUCAUUUAGGACUUACAACCCUGAAAGCUUAGGUGGGGCUGAUUUCUGAAAUCUGGAGGUGGUUCAGUCUGUUGGUCUACUGAAGACUUUAUGCUCCCCAAUGGUCUUUGUUCUGUUGGCAUUUUAAACGAAUGGAGCAUUACAGACAUUCCAAAUGCAUUUCCUCAUGUAUCACUAGGCCUGCUGUAGGUGAGGUCUGAGAAAGGAAUCUCCUCAAACUUUGAAAGUUAAUGAAGUAAUGAUCUUUCAAAUAAUUACUGAAACUUACCACUAAAAUGUUUUUCAUUUCUUUCUAAAGUUGCAGGUUUACACCAAUGAGUUGUUCAACUUCUUUUUUUGUUUUUAAUUGGUGUGGGAAAUCUGAAGUCAUAAAACACUGUGUGACUACAGGAUGUCAGGAUAAAACAGCAGGAGAACCUCAGGCCAUAUUUCCAUCCCUUUCUUGAGGCUCAUAUGGAAAGGGCAUCCUGGCUGAGGUGUGUGGCUGGAGGGAGCUGCCUGAAAAGCACCUGGGGAGCAAGAACUGGAGAAGGAUCCUCACAACAGAACCUCUGGGUCACCUCACCUUGUCUGUUCAAAAGGUGGAGAGAAAACAACACCCAGAGUCACAGCACAACCAGCUUUAGAGGCUUGUGCUGCCUGUGGGAAGGGAUCAUUCCUGGCAGCGUCAACAGGCUCAACCUUGCAAGAUCCAAGUUCAUCUUCUCCUGGCUGCUCAGGCUCCAGCUGAACCAGGAGCUUCUUGCAGGACUGGGAG